UGGCAAGCCUCCAGCAUGCCUGAGUCUGAAGUGACCCUGUAUUUCCUUCAGUGCUUGCAAGAAAAGUGUUGAAAUAGUUUGAGGACUUGCUCUGGACCAUCUCCAGAGUGAGGUUAUGGACAUUUCUUACAGAG